rnacentral:rRNA from 1 species
CCUACGGGAGGCAGCAGUCGAGAAUCAUUCACAAUGGGGGAAACCCUGAUGGUGCGACGCCGCGUGGGGGAAUGAAGGUCUUCGGAUUGUAAACCCCUGUCAUGUGGGAGCAAAUUAAAAAAAUAGUACCACAAGAGGAAGAGACGGCUAACUCUGUGCCAGCAGCCGCGGUAAUACAGAGGUCUCAAGAGUUGUUCGGAAUCACUGGGCGUAAAGCGUGCGUAGGCUGUGUCGUAAGUCGUGUGUGAAAGGCGCGGGCCUAACCCGCGGACGGCACAUGAUACUGCGAGACUAGAGUAAUCGAGGGGGAAGCGGAAUGCUCGGUGUAGCAGUGAAAUGCGUAGAUAUCGAGAGGAACACUCGUGGCGAAGGCGGGUUCCUGGACAUUAACUGACGCUGAGGCACGAAGGCCAGGGGAGCGAAAGGGAUUAGAUACCCGGGUAGUC